UACAGAGAGAAGCAAUGCGGCGACGCAAAGCGGAACUUGAAAGCCUGUCUCAGUUCGGAUUGGAGUCUGNAACCCGACUCCAUGAAGCUGGAUUCGCUAGUAAUCGCGCAUCAGCCACGGCGCGGUGAAUACGUUCCCGGGCCUUGUACACACCGCCCGUCAAGCCAUGGAAGCCGGGGGUGCCUGAAGUGCGCUGCCGCAAGGAGCGCCCUAGGGUAAAACCGGUGACUGGGGCUAAGUCGUAACAAGGUAAC
rnacentral:rRNA from 1 species